ACUGUUCAGCCAUGUUCCUGGUGCUCAUCCCAGUACUGGGGAUACAUUUUGCCCUGAAAGAUGCCAGAGCCCAGUCUGUGACCCAGCCUGACGGCCACAUCACUAUCUCUGAAGGAGACUCCCUGGAGUUGAGAUGCAAGUAUUCCUAUGGUGCAACACCUACUCUCUUCUGGUAUGUCCAGUACCCUGGCCAAGGCCUCCAGCCUCUCCUUCGGUACUACUCAGGAAACACCCUGGUUCAAGGCAUUAAAGGCUUUGAGGCUGAAGUCAGGAAGAAUGAAUCUUCCUUCACCCUGAGGAAACCCUCUGUGCCCUGGAGUGACGCAGCUGUGUACUUCUGUGCUCUGAGUGACACAGUGCCUGGGACUGCACGGGGAGCUGAACGCAAACCACCUAUGCUGGUGGAGUUUUCAGAGACUCAAGAUCUCUUGUGGCAUUUUCAAAGUUCUCUUGUUCUAUGA